rnacentral:rRNA from 1 species
AUGCAGUCGAACGAUUAAACUCUCCUUCGGGAGAGAUAUAAAGUGGCGCACGGCCUUUNUNAACACGUAGGUAAUCUACCUUUGAGUGGGGAAUAACNAUCGGAAACGAUUGCUAAUACCGCAUAAUGCAGCGGCAUCGCAAGAUGACAGUUGUUAAAGGAGCAAUUCGCUUAAAGAGGAGCCUGCGGCAGAUUAGCUAGUUGGUAAGGUAAUGGCUUACCAAGGCUACGAUCUGUAACCGACCUGAGAGGGUGGUCGGUCACACUGACACUGAAUAACGGGUCAGACUCCUACGGGAGGCAGCAGUCGGGAAUUUUGGGCAAUGGGCGAAAGCCUGACCCAGCAACGCCGCGUGAAGGACGAAGUCUUUCGGGAUGUAAACUUCGUAAGAAUAGGAAGAAUAAAUGACGGUACUAUUUGUAAGGUCCGGCUAACUACGUGCCAGCAGCCGCGGUAAUACGUAGGGACCAAGCGUUGUUCGGAUUUACUGGGCGUAAAGGGCGCGUAGGCGGCAAUUCAAGUCAGUUGUGAAAUCUCCGAGCUUAACUCGGAACGGUCAACUGAUACUGCUUUGCUAGAGUACAGAAGGGGCAAUCGGAAUUCUUGGUGUAGCGGUGAAAUGCGUAGAUAUCAAGAGGAACACCUGAGGUGAAGACGGGUUGCUGGGCUGAUACUGACGCUGAGGCGCGAAAGCUAGGGUAGCAAACGGGAUUAGAUACCCCGGUAGUCCUAGCCCUAAACGAUGUAUGCUUGGUGUCUGGAGUUUUUAUUCUCCGGGUGCCGUCGCUACGUUUUAGCAUACCGCCUGGGG